rnacentral:rRNA from 1 species
UUACGGGAGGCAGCAGUAGGGAAUAUUGGACAAUGGACGCAAGUCUGAUCCAGCCAUGCCGCGUGCAGGAUGACUGCCCUAUGGGUUGUAAACUGCUUUUAUACAGGAAGAAACCUCCCUACGUGUAGGGAGCUGACGGUACUGUAUGAAUAAGGACCGGCUAACUCCGUGCCAGCAGCCGCGGUAAUACGGAGGGUCCAAGCGUUGUCCGGAUUUAUUGGGUUUAAAGGGUACGUAGGCGGGACUUUAAGUCAGUGGUGAAAGCCUCCAGCUUAACUGGAGAAUUGCCAUUGAAACUGAAGUUCUUGAGUAUGGAUGAGGUGGUUGGAAUAUAACAUGUAGCGGUGAAAUGCAUAGAUAUGUUAUAGAACACCGAUUGCGAAGGCAGAUCACUAAACCAUUACUGACGCUGAGGUACGAAAGCGUGGGGAGCGAACAGGAUUAGAUACCCUGGUAGUCCACGCUGUAAACGAUGUUCACUCGCUGUUGGCGAUAUACUGUCAGCGGCCAAGCGAAAGCAUUAAGUGAACCACCUGGGGAGUACGAUCGCAAGGUUGAAACUCAAAUGAAUUGACGG